rnacentral:rRNA from 1 species
UAGGGGCCAAGCGUUGUUCGGAUUUACUGGGCGUAAAGGGCGCGUAGGCGGCGUGUUAAGUCAGCUGUGAAAUCUCCGAGCUUAACUCGGAACGGUCAGCUGAUACUGAUGUGCUAGAGUGCAGAAGGGGCAAUCGGAAUUCUUGGUGUAGCGGUGAAAUGCGUAGAUAUCAAGAGGAACACCUGAGGUGAAGACGGGUUGCUGGGCUGACACUGACGCUGAGGCGCGAAAGCCAGGGGAGCAAACGGG